GACGUAGGGCGCGAGCGUUGUCCGGAUUUAUUGGGCGUAAAGAGCUCGUAGGCGGUCUGUUGCGUCGGCUGUGAAAACCCGGGGCUCAACUCCGGGCCUGCAGUCGAUACGGGCAGACUAGAGUUCGGUAGGGGAGACUGGAAUUUACGGUGUAGCGGUGAAAUGCGUAGAUAUCGUAAGGAAGACCAGUGGCGAAGGCGGGUCUCUGGACAGUUCCUGACGCUGAGGCACGAAGGUCAGGGGAGCAAACGGG
rnacentral:rRNA from 1 species